GUGGUUGGUUGGUUGGUUUGUUUCUGAAAAUACAUUUAGUUCAUGUGGUGUUUAAAGACGUAGGGCUGUGACCCGUUCAUCCCGUGUGACCCUGGCUUCGCUAAUGGAACUGGAUGUGGGGAGAGCAGUUAGCGUUCCUCACCCCACACGUACGGACCCCGAUGGCCGCAGGGAUGGGAGGCAGGGGCCGGACCCAUCGCUGCAGUUACAGCGGUUAUCCCUUCAUCUAACGACAGCGAUGCGGCUCGUCAGAUAUCUCUGCAUUCGGUCUCAACCUGAAGACUGAGAAAUGGAUAUCUUGAACUAACAAUCCUGAGGCCCUGGACAUACAGGUCCUGGCAGGUCUCUCCUCACAGCCACCCAAACCCCACCACGACCGGCUCCAUUCAUGGGGGCUCAGCCACACCAGCAGCUCUCGUCUGCCACUGCACAGCUGCACACCAGAUACAAGCCCACAGGAAAGGCACAGGCUGCCAAAAAGCAUCUUACAGCCAUGCUAUACUCAGCUGCUCUCAACAUGCAGUUAUUUGUUUUUCUUCACUGUUUGCUAGUUUGAUUUUGCUCAGGGCUGCUCGCCACAGCGCUUACUGAAUUCUUCUACCAUGACAAGUCCCAGAGAAGCCUGGUGCUUACCAGAGAAAUUAAGCAUAAUUCUACUUCCCUAAAGAGACCUUCCUAGGAAAAACAAUUCAAAAUGUAAGCAAAGCACACCACUCAAAUCCAGUUAGUUAAAAAUACGUCGAGUUAAUUAUGUCAGUAUUGACUAAAACAAAACACAACACACAAACAACACCUGUUCAUCUCCACUCAGCACACACAGGCAAUGUCCCUGCUUUUCCCCCUCAUCCCCUAAGAAAUCCGUCCCCUGAAGGUGCCCAGGCACGGGGUGGCCUUG